UAUCUCUUCGUCCAUCUAGUAUCCCUACCAUAUUUCUCUUCUACCCGAGAGAGAGAGAGACUGCACUUUUUUCUUAUUCUUCUCCGCUCACUUCAAUCACCACCACAGAGCACACCACCACCAUCCAUUACUAAUUCCAUCAAUCACAACAACAACACCUUCUUCUUCUUUAUCUUGUUCUUCUCCAUUGACAGAUCUAAGUUUUAUGUUUGUCGGGAAAUUAAACCUAAUCGAAACCCUAAAAUAAUUGGAUCGACCUCUUAUACCACCACUACCAACAUCUUUUUCUUAUUUUUCUUCUUCUUUACCUUCUUCAACAGUAAUCACCAAUUGGUUCACAUACCAACUCCAACAACAAUCAACAUCAUGAGGCAGCAGUUAGUUCACUCGGUCAUCCAUCUUAUUGUAUGCUGGUGGUGUUGGUUAAGCUAGCGGUGCUAUUAGUGGUGGUAUUUGGAGGUGUUGCUGCUACGAGGUGGUGGUGGUGGUGCUCUCUUAAUAAUUACAUGGGAGCUCAAUCUGAGAAAGGUGCUUAUUUGAAAUUACCAACUUGAAUUGUGUGUAACCUUACGAAGUGUUGGGUUUGUUCACUUUACCGCAUGUGUAUCAAGUGCGGUGGGUUAGUUCAACACUAGGCAGUUUAUCAUUUUACUGAAUUCUUUUUUGUAUGAUUUUGAAUCCAAGUGUAAACUGAAUUUAGUUAUAAAUUGUGUAAUGAAAACAGUUAAUCAUUAAUGGAAAGGUCAUUUUGAAUCUGAGA